rnacentral:tRNA from 1 species
GCGUCCUUAGCUCAGCUGGAUAGAGUGUCUGACUACGAAUCAGAAGGUCGGGAGUUCGAAUCUCUCAGGACGCG